rnacentral:rRNA from 1 species
UCUGCAGUCGAGCGGACAGAUGGGAGCUUGCUCCCUGAUGUUAGCGGCGGACGGGUGAGUAACACGUGGGUAACCUGCCUGUAAGACUGGGAUAACUCCGGGAAACCGGGGCUAAUACCGGAUGGUUGUUUGAACCGCAUGGUUCAAACAUAAAAGGUGGCUUCGGCUACCACUUACAGAUGGACCCGCGGCGCAUUAGCUAGUUGGUGAGGUAAUGGCUCACCAAGGCGACGAUGCGUAGCCGACCUGAGAGGGUGAUCGGCCACACUGGGACUGAGACACGGCCCAGACUCCUACGGGAGGCAGCAGUAGGGAAUCUUCCGCAAUGGACGAAAGUCUGACGGAGCAACGCCGCGUGAGUGAUGAAGGUUUUCGGAUCGUAAAGCUCUGUUGUUAGGGAAGAACAAGUACCGUUCGAAUAGGGCGGUACCUUGACGGUACCUAACCAGAAAGCCACGGCUAACUACGUGCCAGCAGCCGCGGUAAUACGUAGGUGGCAAGCGUUGUCCGGAAUUAUUGGGCGUAAAGGGCUCGCAGGCGGUUUCUUAAGUCUGAUGUGAAAGCCCCCGGCUCAACCGGGGAGGGUCAUUGGAAACUGGGGAACUUGAGUGCAGAAGAGGAGAGUGGAAUUCCACGUGUAGCGGUGAAAUGCGUAGAGAUGUGGAGGAACACCAGUGGCGAAGGCGACUCUCUGGUCUGUAACUGACGCUGAAGAGCGAAAGCGUGGGGAGCGAACAGGAUUAGAUACCCUGGUAGUCCACGCCGUAAACGAUGAGUGCUAAGUGUUAGGGGGUUUCCGCCCCUUAGUGCUGCAGCUAACGCAUUAAGCACUCCGCCUGGGGAGUACGGU